UUAUUUCUUUGAAGCUAAAUAGGUUAUUAUCUUUUAUUGGACAAGGUCCAUCGCAAGGAAUUUAACUCCAAGUGGGUUAAUAUUGUCAUACGGAGUAAGAAGCAUACGAGGUUGAGCUCUGAUGGAGUGGAGUGUGCUGAAUCAACUAUCUUAUCCUACUACUGUAUGCCGAAUAAAGAAAUCUACCCUACUAGUGUGUACUACUCUCGGAGGUUCAUGUCUUCAUACAUGUAACCGCGUUCCAGUCGCUUCCGCUGUUUUAUUCCAUAAAUUGAGAUCCCUAUUUCUAAAGAAACUCUGAUGUGUGCUAUGUUGUAUUGUAAGAACCUUAACUCGAUUUUGCAUAAUCGAGUAUUGAUUAAGCGAGUAUUGUGUGUGAAAAUCCUUUUUAUCUAAA